rnacentral:snRNA from 1 species
GCAAUCUAAAUUGGAAUGAUGCAGAGUAAAUUAACAUGGCCUCUGUGUAAUGAUGCAAACUUAUGAGGUGUUACACAUUUUU